UACGUAGGGGGCAAGCGUUGUCCGGAAUCAUUGGGCGUAAAGCGCGCGUAGGCGGCUCGGCAAGUCCGCUGUGAAAGUCAAAGGCUCAACCUUUGAAUGUCAGCGGAUACUGCCGGGCUAGAGUCCGGAAGAGGCGAGUGGAACUCCUGGUGUAGCGGUGGAAUGCGCAGAUAUCAGGAAGAACACCAACGGCGAAGGCAGCUCGCUGGGACGGAACUGACGCUGAGGCGCGAAAGCGUGGGGAGCGAACAGG
rnacentral:rRNA from 1 species